AGAGCACCAGAGAUAUCCAGGAUAAAGGGAGGCAGUGAAGUCAAGGGCCUGGUCGUCUUUUGCAGACACCCACCUCUGGGGUCUCAGGGGAUAGUCCCAUGAUCCUAGGAGAGGGCAGACGUGAGCCAGCCUGAAGAAAUGUCAUCAGAGUCCCAGAAUAAACUGCAAAAUCCCUGAGGUUCCAAAAAAUCUGCAGGAUGUUUCAGGCCUGCCUAGACAUUUUAGAGGAAGUUUUGGGUUUCCUGAUAGGAAUCACUGAAGAUUGCUUGGACACCAGCACAAGACAGCUCGUUCUCUCAGGCAAGCUUUGAUUUUUCUUUGCUCUCAUGGGAAAUCCACAGUGCCCCUCAACAACACUACUGGUCACAGUUUUCAGGCUUGCCAUAGCCAAAGACAGUCCUGAGACACCGUCUCAACCUCAUCUGCACCUGUGAGAGGCCAAUCAGAGGUGUGAGAACACUGCUCCACCGUGGACUUGCCUUUGUCGUGGUCCCUGUCUUUUGCAGAGAGCCCCUGUGAGGCCCAGGAAGAAGGGAGGCAGUGAGGUCAAGAGCCUGGCAAUCUUUCAUUGACACCCUCGUCUGGGGUCUCAGGUAUGAUGCUAUCACCCAAAGAACCCUCGAAAACACACCACACACUAUUCCAAUCAGCAAUAAGUAAGAAUCACCAGAUAAUAUUCCAAUCUGCAAUCCGUAAGAAACAUGCGAUUCUUACACACAGCUUCUUUUGGAAAUGGAGUCGGAAAAGCAGUUGCCAGCGACCAAAAGGACAGUCUCGAAACACGUCCUUCUCCAGUGGGACCCAACUACAAAUACAGCUCCAAGGGGCCCUGAGGUCGAGACUUUUAGGGUCCCGCAGUUGGUUCUCGCAGGCAGGCUUUUACCCGAUACCAAACCGGCUCUGAGUAUACCGCCUUCCUUUGCUUAGGCAGGCUGACAGCUCUGACAGACUGGAGCACGAGCCUGCCUCACGAAUGCGCAUGCACUAGUCUCAGGGAACCAGUCUUGAUUAUCAGCACUGCCUAGACUCGUAAAGAUUGUCUCUUUUGCCUAGCGACAAUUUCCUGCGGCUUGGCAGAGAAAGAGACCUCUGUGGAGGUGCGUCAGUGGUGGACUCUCACCUGUUGGAUGCAGGGGAUAGUCCCAUCAUCCUAGGUGAGCGCAGACGUGAGCCAGCCUGAAGAAACGGCAGCCAUAGCCUCAGGAAUAAACCGCAAUAUCCCUAAUGAUCCAAAAAGAUCUGCAGGAUUUCUCAGGCCUGCCUACACAUCGUAGCGCCCUUGCCAGAACGGUGGUGCAGUGAUGUAUUACCUGCCAACAGCACAAUGUGAGGCAGGGUCCAGCCGUUCUGCCCAGCAUACAACUUGAGGGAGCAGCCCCUUUUGAAGACCUCCAGGUGGACUUCACAGGAAUGCCAAAGUGUGGAGUGAUCAUGUGUGGAUCAAGGACUGGAAUGUAGCCCACCCACAACUACGGUGGGAAGGACCCCAGACCAUCAUUUUGACGACUCUCACAGCAUGAAAAUAGAAGGAUUCCCAGCCUGGAUCAAUCACAGUCAUGUAUCAUCUACAUUGUCUGAGACCUGAGAGGUGAGACUGAGCCUGGUGGACCCCUGCAAAGUGACAUUGAGAAAGAUGGCAAGCCCUGCUACAGUCACAACCAGAAGCUUACUGUUGUAUGCAUGGCAAAAGAAUGAGGAUACUCAUCAUGGGAUUUAUUCUCCUUAAAAUUUGUACUUCUAUAAUAAAGACUGAUUUUUCCUGCAUGGAGGACUGUUC
rnacentral:lncRNA from 10 species